CAGAAAACGAAGGAAAGGACUUUGCUUAAGGGGGCUGAAAACAAGCACCUGAAGGGAAGUGACAAGAAGCAGCGAGUAGAGGAAAUGGAAAGUAGUAAUCUUCAAAAGAGUUCCACCUUUAAAGCAUCGCCAUUACCAAGGUUCUAUCAGAAAGAUUCUCCUCCAAAAUCUGAGACUAAGAAGAUGCCAGGAAUAAAUUCAAAGUCUUAUUUGCCUGGCCAACAAAAUUUCCUGGAUCUAUGUCUAAGGCUGAAAACAAGAAGAUAGAAGACCAGAGUAAAGGGCCAUCGCAGACAAUAACCAACGGGACUAAGGAAACCAUAACGAAACUACUCAGAAGCACAAGAAAGGUUCUGCAUACUUCAAAGGUAACAACGAAAGUUAUUGUUUCAGUUGCCUGAAGACUGGCUUGUGGCCUGGAAAAUG